AUAUAAGCGAAAGUUCAAAUUAAAAACUAAAAUAGUUGUGUCAGGGAGGUAGUUGGCAAGUUAGAUUUGAACCUCAACUUGGGGACUCUUUGGCAAGUUCUACCGGUAAUAUCAUAGAUGUCAUUGAUGUCGAGACUCAAGGGAUCCGAAAGAAGUUACAAGGACACGUCAAAGACGUCUGUUCAAUCUGCUGGGAUAUGAGUGGAUAUGUCCUGGCAUCCGUGAGCGAGGAUAGUGCACGAAUAUGGUCUGUUAGUGAAGGAUUGUGUAUGCAUGUACUGUACUCCAGUGGCAAUAAGUUCCAGUCGUGCACUUUCCACCCUCGGAUCGGUCAUGUGUUGGUGAUUGGUUCUGAUGAGUUCCUGGAGCUGUGGAAUCCAAUCUUCCAAAGAAACAUUACAUGGCCAUAUAGUGCACAUGCUGGUAUAAUUUCUUCAUUAGCAGAUUCACAAUCGAAAGGAAUCAUAGCUUCAGUAAGUCAUGACCAGUGGAUCAAGAUAUGGCGAUGACGCUUCUUUGUGGAUCAAGAUAUAAAGUCGUUCUUUCUUCUUUAUCUUAUCCAAAUUACAUCGAUAUCUGAAUGAAACCACAGGUGCAUACACCCUUUAGCUAACAACUACAAGGGUGCAUUUGGGACCAAGGAAGGUGACAAUAUUCUUAGCGCAUCUCCAAUGUAAUGAGUUAUCGGAAAGGAUGUAUCAGCCACAAACUUUGACCAUUGUUUCAAACUCCUGUACUCUGUUUUAUCAUUUGGAAGUUGAUAUUUAAAAUGUUAAUUAGACUCUUGUAUUAAAUAACAUUUAAAAUUGAAUAAUUAAAUGAAUUUGAAUAAACAUCUUGAUCUUA